rnacentral:antisense_RNA from 1 species
UUCGAGGCGGCCGGUCUCGGCGUCGGCGCCGGUGAGGGCGGCGUCCCCGUAGAAGUCGCCGUCCGCGAGUACCCGGAACUCGGUCUCGGCGUCGUAGAGUCCGGCGCCGCGUUCGCUGAGCUUGCCGUGGGCGAUCAGGACCACCGUGUCGGCGGGCGCGCCGGCUUCGAGGAUCGUCUCGCCGGGAGUGAAGUCCCGCUGCACGCAGGAGGCGGCGAGUUCCGCGAGGACCUCCUCGUCGGUGAAUCCGGACAGGGCCGGGAGUUCGGCGAGUUCCGCGGGGAUGACCCGCACUUCGGCGCCGGUGGACACGAAUUCGAUCCGGCCGUUUCCGAGAGUGUGGCUAAGGCGCCGGUUCACCCGGAACGUACCGCCGGAAACCUGCACCCAGGGCAGGACUUUGAGCAGCCACCGGGAGGUGAUGCCCUGCAUCUGCGGGGGCGUUUUGGUGGUGGUGGCGAGAUUGCGGGCGGCCGCGGUGGCCAGGCUCAACUGGGCGU